rnacentral:rRNA from 1 species
UACGUAGGGUGCGAGCGUUAAUCGGAAUUACUGGGCGUAAAGCGUGCGCAGGCGGUUCGUUAAGUUCGAUGUGAAAGCCCCGGGCUCAACCUGGGAACUGCAUUGGAAACUGCAGAGCUUGAGUACUUAAGAGGAUCGCGGAAUUCCCGGUGUAGAGGUGAAAUUCGUAGAUAUCGGGAGGAACACCAGUGGCGAAGGCGGCGAUCUGGGAAGAUACUGACGCUGAGGUGCGAAAGCGUGGGGAGCAAACAGG